UGACAGGGUCCUGAAGUCACCUCCACAAAACUGGGGCGCUCACCCACGUCCCCCUCAAGGAGGAAGCGCUGGGUUCUGCCUGCGGCGUGUGGUAACCAAGCAGCGAGCUAGGCGGAGAGAUUCUAGAAGUCUCAGAACUUUGUGCCAUCCUCAGCUCUGGCUUCAGAUAUGCUCAGGCACGGACCAGUCCUUAGGAGUGCAGGCAGCCGGGUCUGACCCGCCAUCGUUCAUUUGGCUUAGGAGGUAGCAUCUGGUUAAAUUUUCUAAUUACUACUGCACUUAAUUCAAAGCACAAUGUUGUAGAUAUGUAGUAGAUUAAUGUGAUUGCCUUAGAGGAAAGCAAUCAAUGGAGCACUUGGCAAUUGAGAGGAGGAUGGUACAUUUCCUCAUGAACCAGAAAAUUAGUGGGAUAUCGUCCAUGCAGAAUCCUUCACCACCAUAUUCCAGAGGAAGAAUGUCUGGGAAAUGCUGCAGUAAGCUUGGCUUGUAAUUGUUUCCA